CAAAAUUCCACACUGGUGGCUAGAGCUGAGGCUGGCCAUGCCUCCAGGUUCUUGAAGUGUACUUGGACUGCAUUAUUUAAAGAAUGGAAAGAAUAUGGUCUGGUGCCAUUUUCACAGACCUUGUAAAAGAAAAUUUACAAACACAGGGUGUCUUCCCAAGACUGAACGUUUCCUCACAUAAUAAGAUCACUCCAGUAGCAAUGUGAAACCAGAAAGACGUGCAUUAUGGGACACGCGAGAGAAGUCCAGAGGUGGUGGUAUACUGAGACAUCAGAUAUAAAUGGAAAUCAUCCACAGUGAUCUGCUCAUGGGUUCCAGAGCAACAUCCUCAUGCUGGCAUCAGGAAAAUGGAGAAAGGAGCACUGGGUUUUGUGGGGAGUUACAUGGGAGUAUCCAAACCCAAAGUGUGAGAAAAGAGGGGAGACGACCGAGUCUUUGGAAGAAAAGCUGAAGGAUCUUAUUGCAAAGGAAUUCCACAGUUCUUCCUCUUCAUAAUCAUAUUUACUCACGCAGUUUAGGAAAAGAUUGCACAAAGACGUAAAUGAACAGAAAAAGAUGCCAGGUAAACAGAAGCCCUCUGAUAAAACAGAAGCCCAAACCACGGUCAGAGAAACUACAUGAUAGCGAGAAACAGCGGGUGUGCUUUGAAUACACGCUAUAUGAACAGUGUCUGAGGUUCAUAGAAGUACUGAAUGAAACCAACUAUCUCUGUUAAGGGGAUGUACAAUAUUUCAUUCCAAAUAAAUAUCAAGAGUAGCCUCCAGCAACAGAAAGCUAAUCUGAAUAGGAAGAGAUGUUAGCAGAUCUAAUACAGGCUUUCUACACUACCGGUCAAUCCUUCACCAAACCAAUUUGUGAACAAAGAGAACAAAGGGCUAGAUGUUUCUCUGGGGACAGUCGUAUUUUUUAACUGAAGAGUAAAUUAUGUUGAAUGGGAAUAUCAAGUCAUAAAAUAUAAUCAGGCUAUUAGCUAGGUAGGAAUUGUGGGGAAGAUACAAUGCUCCACAGUGAAUUCCUAGUGUUACAUACAACAAGUAAAGACAAUAGAAACGAGUGAGAAAAUUUGGCAGGCAGUGAUUUCCUUCCCUAGGCCUCCUGUUUGCAGAACUCUGCAGAAUUUCUUGGGCUGCUUGGUCAGCUUUCUUUUUACUGAAACAUACUUGGAUUUCAAUGCUAACUAUAACUGCUACAAAAGGACGGUAGUUAUAAAAGGUUGAUUGCAAAAAUGUUUAUAAAUUCUGCAGCUUUCUAUUUUUAGGUGUUCAAUUUAAGGCUUCUGGUGGCUGCAGACAUCUGUUUUUUCAGAGAUUUCUCUGUGGUGCUAACAGAAGUGAAGCUGAACUGAAGACUUAGAUUCAUCAUGAAGUGGGAACUGGGAUUUGAUUCUAGAGAAAAUAGAACCCAGAGAAGAAUCAAACACACAUUUUCUUUGCAUAUAGGUGUUUCUAUUGUUCAUAGCAUUAUCAAAUAAAUCUUGAAACAAUCACGAGUCAAUUUAUGAAGCAGAGGAAAUAAAAACGAGUUUUGUUAGAGACUUCCAGUGGGAUCAAGAUAGAGCCUGGCUGCAGUUAGUAGGAACUCGCAGGACACCAGCAAGUUUGCCUGUUUGUUGGACUCAGUUGCUGUUUAGCCUGAUAUGAACUUCUGAGGCUUGUAUUCCCUUUCACUUUGCUUGUGUUUCAACAAUAUAUAGCAGACUAUCCAUGCUUAACCACAUGCUCUUGGCUAAUGGUCCUCUGUUCAGUGUGUCAAUGUGCUCCCUCCUCUCAUUCUUUUUCAUUUCAACAUAUCAGGUUAUCAUCUGAAGCAAAAUGAAAGUUAUCAGAAGCCCAUUGGCUCAAUGUUUUGCUAGAGGACCAAAGUCCCAGACUUGAAAGGGAAACAUUUUCCUAGAACGAUUAUUGCAAGUAACAUUUUUGCAAAGGCUGAAGAGCAUAUCAUGCACAAAACAGAGAUCGCACCAGAAUCCUGGAGUCUCACCAACAGCAUAUUUGAACAACAGACUGAAAGCUAAAAGAGGGAUGAAAAACCUGCAUGCAUGUCAGUGGGAUGAUCAGCAUCCAGCAUGUGAUAGGUAUGUGGUGGGUUAGUUAUGAAAACUCCGAUAGCUACGAGAAGACUACAGAAGAGCAGAGGUUAAAUUGUGAUUAUUCAGGUUAUGAAGAACAGGACGUGCUGGGAAAUUCUGGUGUAUAUGGAAAGGAUGUUAAAGAAUAGCAAUGUUGUUCAGAAAAAUUACCCUGCUUAAAGGAAAACAAGAUCUGAGAGAAUCAGAGUUUUAACACAAGUCUUGUUCAGUCAAGUCAGAAAAAAAUAAAGCAAUUGGCCAAAUUACAGUUUGUUCAUGCUGGCACUGCCCAAAGGAUCAGAGAACAAGUUUUCAGCAACAAUAGGUAUACCCUGACCACAAAUACCAGCACACAAUUAACUCAUGGGUUAGAAUUUGGAAUCUUCAAUGAAGUGAAACAAAGGCUGUCAGGGACUGAAGGCAGGCCUGUGUGCAUGAAGUGCUUUUGCCAUCAGCAAGGUGCAGGGCAGCCUAGGAUUGCAUGGAAGACAAAAUUAAGUUUGAGAGUGAGCUAGUAAAAACUGGGAUCCAAGAUGAGAAGGUGUUCUCCAACUCCAUGGUGGAUUUUGAUCAAUUUGAUUAGCAUGCUGCAACUUCUGUCACGUGGAAAAUCCAUCACAGUAUAUAAAAUACCAUUUUGUUUAUUCUCAAGGUUUCCAUUUCUCUUUUUCUAUAAAGCUCAAAAGAAUCUUUUGCUCAUGCUAUUUUGCUUAUGCCAUAUUUGAAAGCACCAAGAAGUGAACUGUUUGUUUACCCUCAGGGCAGGCGCUCGGGAGAUUAUCACAGUCAAGCUUUGUUGUUCUGCAUUACAAAGUCUUCAACCUUGACCUAAGCGUACAAUUCUUUCCAGUUCCCCCUCCCCUAAAAAAAUGAAAAAAUAAAGGGAGGACAGAGAUAUCAUUCUUUAUUCUAAGCUGGUGCUUCUUCUUGCUUCAGCAAAGCCUUUGCUGUAAAUACACACACAUAUACAAGCUAUCUAGUCUCCCGUACUAGACUGUUACUCAGUACUGAAGCAAGUCUGGGGUUGAAAUCACUGACUUAGCACGGGUAGAAAAUCAAGUGUAGACUCUCUUGGGGAAUUCAGCAGUGUUAAUUGCAUGACUUGGCAAUACUCCGGGGAAACCUUCCAGGUGACAUGUAGGGAAAUAACACACAUAUCUCACUUUAAUAUGAAGUGAGCCAGAGUGCUCAUCUCCUUGCACAAUCUGUUGACAGCUUUACCUCUACA